UACAGAGGGUGCGAGCGUUAAUCGGAAUUACUGGGCGUAAAGCGCACGUAGGUGGCGACGUAAGUCGGGUGUGAAAGCCCCGGGCUCAACCUGGGAAUUGCAUUCGAGACUGCAUUGCUGGAGUACGGAAGAGGAGGGCGGAAUUCCCGGUGUAGCGGUGAAAUGCGUAGAUAUCGGGAGGAACAGCAGUGGCGAAGGCGGCCCUCUGGUCCAGUACUGACACUCAAGUGCGAAAGCGGGGGAAGCAAACAUG
rnacentral:rRNA from 1 species